rnacentral:rRNA from 1 species
UACGUAGGUGGCAAGCGUUGUCCGGAUUUACUGGGCGUAAAGAGCGCGCAGGCGGCUUGGCAAGUCCGAUGUGAAAGCUUCCGGCUUAACUGGAAAAUUGCAUCGGAAACUGCUCGGCUUGAAGGUGGGAGAGGGUAGCGGAAUUCCCGGUGUAGUGGUGAAAUGCGUAGAUAUCGGGAGGAACACCAGUGGCGAAGGCGGCUACCUGGCCCACUAUUGACGCUUAGGCGCGAAAGCUAGGGGAGCAAACGGG